UGCUAGUAUGUAGUAACUUUUAGGUUAAAAAUAACUCAUAAAUAAUUCAAAUUAACAAGAGAAGGGGAUAUGGUAGAAAAUUAAUAUAUUAAAAAAAUCACAACAACAAUUUAUUAUUGAACCAAAUAAAAUUCAAAAUAAAACAACUAUGUAAUCAAAUAAAGAACCAUAUCAAGGUUAAUUGCACAAGCUGAUCGAAGAACAUAUCAAGUUUUCAAACUAGUUAUUGUCAUACCAAGUCUGUCCUUGAAGAUAAAAAUUCAAAAUAAAACAACUAUGUAAUCAAAUAAAGAACCAUAUCAAGGUUAAUUGCACAAGCUGAUCGAAGAACAUAUCAAGUUUUCAAACUAGUUAUUGUCAUACCAAGUCUGUCCUUGAAGAUAAUCAAUGAUACUCUUAUCAACUUGAAAAGCUUUAGUAAGAACCUCGUCAGAAAUAGGGGGAUUAGAUUUAAAUAAAGCAUUUGCAAUAGUGAUAACUCCUGGAUUUUGACUGCUAAGUCCAGCGAUGGCAACAGCGUUGCCAUAUCCCACAUUUAGUUGAAAGUGAAUUAGACCGAUUGGGAACACAAACACAUCUCCCUUGUUGAGA
rnacentral:lncRNA from 1 species